CAAAAUUUAGACUAAGUGAUCAUUCCCUAGGCAUUGAAUUAGGAAGGUACAGAAACAUUCCAAGAGCACAAAGAUUAUGUAAAAAAUGUGAAGUCCUAGAUGAUGAAUUUCAUUUCUUUUUGUAUUGUGACAUUAACUUAUCUUUGCGUUCUAAUCUUUUUGCUUAUCUAAAAGACUAUGUACCAUUAUUUCAACAUCUUGAUGCAUUCAAUAAACUUAAACACAUUCUAAACCCC
rnacentral:lncRNA from 1 species